UCUCUGUUCGUAUAUCGGUUAGUACACGCGCUUGUCAUUCAAGCAGACCGCGCGAAAGCGGGGUUCGAUUCCCCGACAGAGAG